rnacentral:rRNA from 1 species
UCGUCACACUAUCAUUAACUGAAUCCAUAGGUUAAUGAGGCGAACCGGGGGAACUGAAACAUCUAAGUACCCCGAGGAAAAGAAAUCAACCGAGAUUCCCCCAGUAGCGGCGAGCGAACGGGGAGGAGCCCAGAGCCUGAAUCAGCAUGUGUGUUAGUGGAAGCGUCUGGAAAGGCGCGCGAUACAGGGUGACAGCCCCGUACACAAAAGCGCAUGUGCUGUGAGCUCGAUGAGUAGGGCGGGACACGUGGUAUCCUGUCUGAAUAUGGGGGGACCAUCCUCCAAGGCUAAAUACUCCUGACUGACCGAUAGUGAACCAGUACCGUGAGGGAAAGGCGAAAAGAACCCCGGCGAGGGGAGUGAAAAAGAACCUGAAACCGUGUACGUACAAGCAGUGGGAGCACCCUUUGGGUGUGACUGCGUACCUUUUGUAUAAUGGGUCAGCGACUUAUAU